UUUUGGCUGCCCGUUCCACCAUAAAUGACGCUUUCUCUAUCCAGUACGGCUAGAUCGAGAAUCGACAACCUUCUCCAGCCAGUGCGUGAGCAAUGAUGUUGGCUUGUCUUCCAGCAAAACAAAAGGUGACUUUUGCAAAUAUCCCCAAUUUUGCCUUAAUAUCUUGAACAAUCGGGCUAAUGAUAGACUUGUCUAAUGUAGGAGAAUUCAAUUUCCCAGUGACAGUAAGUGAAUUGCCCUCCAUCUGUACUGAUCAAAAUCCUAACUCAGCCGCAAAGAUGAUGGCCUACUCAUACGCCCGUGCUUCGGCAAUGAAGGCAUCAGUAACACCAUGGUGGGGGUAAGUACAUGCAACCAUAAUAAGACCUGAAGAAUUUAUAGCCAGUACUCUUGAGAUAGAAGUUUUUGUAUUAGGGCUAAAAGAUGCAUCAAAAUUAAGUUUAAUACUGUCAGAACCUGGUGGUACACAUUUCUCCUGUUUAGGUAAAAAAACUGAUGGAUUUAGUUCACCCAGAGCCUCUAGCUCUACUAGGUGUGCCUUAAUAAACACUGUCAAACCCUGCACUAAUUAUCUAACACCUUCAUGAGCAAGCUUAUUUCAUGCAUGCCAAACCAAAUUGCCCAGUAAGAUAUCACCAAUAACUUCUCUAAUCUUGUGUUAGGUUGCAUGAAAACCUCUGCUAACCAUGUUUUAUAAUCUGAAUUAUGUGAGGUAAGGAUAGUCGUAACAUUCAAUGAGUCUAGAACUUUCUUGGAAACAGAGCAAUGUCGUAACAAAUGGUCAAUAGAUUCUUCAGCUGAAUUGCACAAGGGACAGACAUUUUUAACUUGUAGUUUUCUGCGUUGUAAAUUAUCAAAAGUUGGUUGAUAAUUUUUUGCGAAUCUCUAUACUUCAAUCUUGAUUUUUGUUCAGAGCUGUAGUGCCUACAAAUUAAUGUAGAAUGUUGUAACUAAAUUAGGCAUGGCUGUAGAACGUAGACCCUUGUUUUGUAACUCUUCGUCUAGCAGAAGCCUGUAACCACUCUUAGAAGAAUAUUCACCAAAACCUUCAUGUCUCCACACCAAUUUGUCUAUUGGCUUUGAUUGGGCAAGUGGAGUACAUAGGAUUCUCUCUACAUGGUCUUCAUAAAAAAAGAGUCUCACUCUUUCUUCUACCCAGGUAUUGGAAUUAUGAUUAAUUAAUUUUGAUACUUUUGUGUACCUGAUAUCUAUGUUCUGAACCUGUAUUCUUUCAUUUCCAG
rnacentral:lncRNA from 1 species